ensembl:lncRNA novel transcript
ACUCUAUCUGUCUGGGAAACCUCAGACAGGGAAGAGAUUUCUUGGUGCCUCUCUUGGGAAUGUCACUGACGUCCACAGUGACUGUCACAUGCGUGUCAGUUGUUCUGUGGGUUUGCUGUGUGCGGGGCACUGUGGAAAGGAAGAAAGGCCUAGAUUCCAGUCCAGCUCCACCACUCAGCAGCUUCAUGCCCACAGACAAAGGACAAAAUCCCCCUGAGCCUCAGUUUUUUCGUGGACAAAAUGGAGUGAACACCUUGUGGGGCUGCUGUGGGCCUAGGAUUCCGUGACAGGCCCUCUGGGAAGAACUCCGCGAACAACCCCCUGCCUUGGAGUCUGCAAUCCUUCCUCGAGCACACGGACGCCCGGGGUGGGGAAGCCCACAGUCUGGCAGGGCUCGCACUGGGCAGAAUAAUUGCAACGUAGUCAUGAGGAUCGGGCUAUGACCUGCCUGACUUUUCACUCCUCCCAUGAUACACCGAUGCAUACCGCAGGUGCACACUAAACGCCGAAUCUAUAGAAAGUGGAACACACCAGGACCCAGCAGAAGGCGACAUG